AGGCCAUGGUGAAGGCAUUCUUGGAGCAGAUCCUUGAAUCUCUAGAUAAGUUUGGAAAAUGACUCACUAGGAUUUUGCCUAAAGUGAAGGAUAUCACUUCUAAGUUU